rnacentral:lncRNA from 1 species
CAAACCAUCCUAUUGCUAAGCAAAAAGCUACUUUUGAGAAGUGGACAAAUAAAGACAGUCAGGCCAAGUGCUAUGUACUAGCAUCCAUGUCGAAUGAGUUGCAAAGCUAGCACGAGCAUAUACCCACUGCCCCGACCAUUAUCACUCACCUAUAAGAGUUGUAUGGUGAGCAGAGCCAUACUGCGUGCUUCGAAGUAUCCAAAAGACUCUUCAAUCUGA